rnacentral:lncRNA from 1 species
GGCGCCACAGUCCGAGAACGAACUUGGGACUUGCCAAAAAUCUCCAGCAGGGACAGCCCCCACCAUCCCGGCCCCAUGAGCAAAACAGCCCCAGCUUGGUGAACUUACAGAAAUCCACCUGCAGGUCCCGGUAGACCAAGCUGUGGGCGCUUGGAGGUUGUUCCAGUUUGGAAGUGAACGUGAUGAUGGAGUCAGGGAAGAGGAAUGCAGAUCUGGAAGAAUGGGAUGCAAAAAUCAGGAAGUUAACAGAAGAAUUUGAGGAAAGUGACACAGAACUCGAGGAAUGUGACACAGAAAAUGGUAAAGGGGAACUCACAGCUGAGAUAGACAAUCUGACUGCGGAGCUUGAGGAACGUGAUAGAAAAAUUAGAAAACUUACUUCAGACCUUGGCGAAUGUGAUACAAAAAUCAAGGAGCGUGAUAGAAAAAUAACCAAGCUCUCAGCAGAAAUACGUAGGCUCACAGCUCUGCUUGGGGACCGAGACAAACAGCUUCGGAAACUGACUGCAGAACUUGCAAAGUGUGAUGCAACAAUCAGAUUAUUCACGGUGGAACUUGGAGAGCGUCAUACAAAAAUAGGGGAACUUACUGCAGAAGUCGGGGACUACGAUAGGCAACUUCGGAAACACGCAGCAGAACUUGCGGAACGGGAUGAAAAAAUCAGGGAACAUGAAGCAGAGAUAAGGCGUCUUACUGAGCUGCUAGAGGAUCGUGAUUUGGAAGCCCGAAACCAGGAUGCCCUUAUCAUUGAAAUAGUGAAAAAACUGGAAUUAAGAGGCAUGAGUAAAUCUGCCCAUGGUAGAGGAUUUGGUAACCUCAAGUUCCCCCAUCACACCCCUCUCCCAUCCUUGCAAAGGAGAUGAACUGAUUAGAAAAAACAAUAUUUUCUUCUUUUUAAGGAAAAUUGAUUGAAGAGCUUG